AUGGAGCGUGUGCUCGCGGUGCUCUUCCUCCUGGCGGCGCACGCCGCCUCCGCGGCCGCCGGUGUGACGAGCCCGUACCGGCGGAGCCUGCAGAUGCUCCCCGACAUGCCGCUCGACGCCGACGUGUUCCGGCCGCCGCCUGGCGACAAUGCGCCGGAGCAGGUCCACAUCACCCAGGGCGAUCUGACCGGCCGCGCCAUGACGAUAUCCUGGGUUACCCCGGAGCACCCGGGCAGUAACGUCGUCCGCUACGGCCUCGCCGCCGACAACCUCAACCUCACGGCCGAGGGCACCGUCCAGCGCUACACCUGGGGCGGCACCUACCAGUCCCCCUACAUCCACCACGCCACGCUCACCGGCCUCGACCACGCCACCGUCUACCACUACGCCGUCGGCUUCGGCUACACCGUGAGGUCCUUCUCCUUCAAAACCCCGCCCAAGCCCGGCCCCGACGCGCCCAUCAAGUUCGGUCUCAUCGGUGAUCUCGGCCAGACGUUCCACUCCAACGACACGGUGGCCCACUACGAGGCCAACGGCGGCGACGCCGUGCUCUUCAUCGGCGACCUGUCCUACGCCGACAACCACCCGGGCCACGACAACCGCCGCUGGGACACGUGGGCGCGCUUCGUGGAGCGCAGCGUCGCGUACCAGCCCUGGAUCUGGACCGCCGGCAACCACGAGAUCGACUACGCGCCGGAGAUCGGCGAGACGGCGCCGUUCAAGCCGUUCACGCACCGGUACCCCACCCCUUUCCGCGCAUCCAACAGCACCGAGCACCUCUGGUACUCGGUGAAGAUGGCGUCCGCCCACGUCAUCAUGCUCUCCUCCUACUCCGCCUACGGCAAGUACACGCCGCAGUGGACGUGGCUGCAGGACGAGCUCCGGCGCGUGGACCGGAGGACGACCCCCUGGCUCAUCGUCUGCGUGCACUCGCCCUGGUACAACACCAACGACUACCACUACAUGGAGGGCGAGACGAUGCGCGUCCAGUUCGAGCGCUGGCUCGUCGACGCCAAGGUCGACCUCGUCCUCGCCGGCCACGUCCACUCGUACGAGCGCACCCACCGCGUCUCCAACGUCGCCUACGACAUCGCCAACGGCAAGGCCACGCCGCAGUUCAACGCCUCCGCUCCCGUCUACAUCAACAUCGGCGACGGCGGGAACACCGAGGGGCUCGCCAACAGCUUCCGGUCGCCGCAGCCGGACUACUCCGCAUUCAGGGAGGCCAGCUACGGGCACGCCACGCUGGACAUCAAGAACAGGACCCACGCCUACUACGAGUGGCACCGCAACCAGGACGGCGUCAAGGUCGUCGCCGACAAGGCCUGGUUCACAAACAGAUACUACAUGCCAACCCACACCAACUAG
rnacentral:rRNA from 1 species